rnacentral:tRNA from 1 species
UCAGAGAAUAGUUUAAAUAAAAUUUUAAUUUUGGAGAUUAAAGAAAAAGAAAGUUUCUUUUUCUCUGAU